UUCUUGUGCCAGCAGCGUCACGGAAAGCAAACGGAGAGGGAUCAUUUUAUGAUCAGUUGCCUUUCUGGGGGAUGGGGGCUUCUUCUGGGGACUUCCUAUGGGGAAGAGAAGGCAGAGCAGGGCACAAAGCGUUUACUUGUCCACCGGGAGGCUUUUUCUGCAGGAGGAGCUGCACAGAGCCAGGAUGGGUGAAAGCGCUCCCUCCUCUCUUAAUCUUUGCAGCAGUUGCAGACCUGACCUACCCACAGUGAGUCAGUGCUAUCAAAGUUGUGCUGUUAGUUGCUGAGACAUUACGAGCUCACAGCUUUUUGCCUAGCCGGCCAGCUCUCCAGCUCCUUGCAGGGAGAGAAGGGGUCUCCUGGCCUGAGGACAGGAUUUCCAAAGCCUCAGCCUGCAGAAAGUGAACAGAAGCCAUUCAAAGGCUGAGCUUUGUGCUGUGGCUGUUAGAAGACAGCAUUCAGCUGGAAGGCAGUUCAGGCAGCAGAGAAGGCUCUAUCACAGAUGGAGAUGCGGCGACACCAGAGAGAGGACCAAGAGGGAAUCCUCUCAACAAGGUCCUGCACCUCAGUAUACUUCGCUUGGCCUUUUGAUCCUAGAAGUGAGCUGGGAGCAAAGAGUUCAAGGAACCAACCCCAGAGAAAUAAGGUGCUCCGAAGGACUGAUUCCAGAGGAAAUUUGCUGAGACUAUUAAUCAGACAGGAAAUUAAUUUAAAAUGAUGUCAUAAUAAUAGCACAUGAAAGAAACACAAAUGCAGCAUAACCUCUAUAAACAGAAAAAGAAUCUGUAUGCUGACACUUGGGUAGGUGCUAAGCUGAAAGGCAACCAGGUGGCCGGCCUGCUGGGUGAGAGUUGUUAAGUGCUGGAUGCCGGGGCCCAAAGAAACAAAGCUCUUCUUGUGCCUGCAGGUGCAAACCUCAUCACGGGUUCAGGGUUUAAGGAAUAUCCCCUGCAUUGAGACAAGGGCUUUGGUCUCUGCCAGAGGUCCGGUGUCCUGCUAAAAGGCCCCAAGGGUCAGCAGUGCUUCUGGACCAUCGCUCCUGGGGUAACGGGACAUUGCUGAGGUAGGACCAAUCCUUCACAAGCCCAUGCCACUACUGCCCAGCCUGUGGAAGUGGUCCAGGUAACUGCCUGUUAGAGCCAAAUUCAUCGAAAUUUGUACAGUUUGAAGAUGAAUACCUGAAGUGCUGCAAGUUAGAUUAAAGCAUAGGCACCAGCAGCGCAUGCCAAGGCUCUGCUUGCAGAACCGUGAAGCAAUGCCAAGCCUCCUGCUUCCAAUUACACAAGCCUCAUACCUUCUGCUCCAGAGACUGCAAGCACAGAUUUGACCACCUUUCCUCACCAGCCAUUUCCGAGGGGGGGUCAGGAGAGUGCUGCGGGUUCAGCCCAGCUUGCGCUGCUGCGGACAAGCUGGUGCGUCCUGGUCACCGGGGAAGUGAUUGGGAAAGAAUGACUUGCGCUAAAUGGUUGCAUCAGCCUUCUGAGCAAUGGGAGCUGACUGUUGGAAGGAGAGGGAUCUGCUGCUGAAUUUCAGCUUGCAGAGCGGAGGGUGCAAAAACGUACUGUUCUGCUAGACUGUGAGCCUGAAGGUCAGCAUCACGCGUGGUGGACAAUCUUGAACUCUUCAGAAGCCGUGAUUUCCUUAGGAGAGCAGCCACUGAAGAAAAGCCAUGCGCAGCGAUACGCUUCAUGGGCUGAGUAGUUAGUGGAGACUGGGAAACUGUCAGUAAAGUUUUAACUGAGGAGCACAGGCUGAAAUAUUUUCUAGCUCCAGACCUGCCAAAGGGUUUCCAGCUCUUGUUUGCAAUUACAGGGAUGAGGUGACUACUUGGACCGUACAAGAUCGGUACACAAAGAGAGAAAUGCGAUGUGCAGCACACAAGGUUGAAACACCCGGUCGUAGCUUCAUUCCAAAGAGGAGGAAUAUUGCUGAAGACUUAGGAGACAGGAGCUGU